UACGUAGGGCGCAAGCGUUGUCCGGAAUUAUUGGGCGUAAAGAGCUCGUAGGCGGUCUGUCGCGUCGGAUGUGAAAGCCCGGGGCUUAACCCCGGGUCGUGCAUUCGAUACGGGCAGACUAGAGUGUGGUAGGGGAGAUCGGAAUUCCUGGUGUAGCGGUGAAAUGCGCAGAUAUCGAGAGGAACACCUGCGGCGAAGGCGGGUUGCUGGGCCGACACUGACGCUGAGGCGCGAAGCCAGGGGAGCGAACGGG
rnacentral:rRNA from 1 species